UACGGGAGGCAGCAGUGGGGAAUAUUGCACAAUGGGGGAAACCCUGAUGCAGCGACGCCGCGUGAGUGAAGAAGUACUUCGGUACGUAAAGCUCUAUCAGCAGGGACGAAGAUGACGGUACCUGACUAAGAAGCCCCGGCUAACUACGUGCCAGCAGCCGCGGUAAU
rnacentral:rRNA from 1 species